UACGUAGGGCGCAAGCGUUGUCCGGAAUUAUUGGGCGUAAAGAGCUCGUAGGCGGUCUGUUGCGUCUGCUGUGAAAACUCGGGGCUUAACCCCGAGCCUGCAGUGGAUACGGGCAGACUAGAGGUAGGUAGGGGAGAAUGGAAUUCCCGGUGUAGCGGUGAAAUGCGCAGAUAUCGGGAAGAACACCCGUGGCGAAGGCGGCUCUCUGGGACGGUACUGACGCUGAGACGCGAAAGCGUGGGGAGCGAACAGG
rnacentral:rRNA from 1 species